UUUUUUUCGAAAAUAUCCAUUUUUACGUAUCAGUAAGUAGCAGCCGAACAGUAAAAUGGCGGGAAAAUUAAAAGAAAGUUUGGGAAUUAGUGAAGUUACAUCUAAGAAUAAUAAUUUAUGGCGUGCCUUGGUUGCUGAAUUCUUAGGCAAUGUCAUAUUAAAUUUCUUUGGUUGUGCGUCUGUUGUAAAUAUUGCUGCGAAUACAGAAGAUUCUUCACCAAAUAUUGUGUUAAUUGCUUUAACAUUUGGUUUAGCAAUUUUCGCUAUUGUUCAUACAAUUGGACAUGUGAGUGGCGGACAUGUAAAUCCAGCUGUAACAGUUGGCAUGUUAGUAACAGGAAAUAUUAAAGUUGCAAAAGGAAUUCUUUAUAUUAUUGUACAAUGCUUAGGAGCUUUAGCUGGUUCUGGACUAUUAAAAGCAAUAACACCAGAGCAAUAUCAAUUGAAACUCGGUAAAACGGGUCUUGGAUUAGAUGUUUCACCAGUACAAGGUAUGGGAAUGGAAUUUUUCCUUGGUUUCAUUUUAGUAUUGGUUGUUUUUGGUGUAUGUGAUAAAAAUCGCCCAGAAGCUAAAUUCGCUGGCCCAUUAGCAAUUGGUUUAACUGUUACUUUGGGACAUUUAGCUGCUGUUGAUUAUACUGGCUCUAGCAUGAAUCCAGCCCGUUCAUUUGGAUCAGCUGUUAUCGUUGGUGAAUUUGAAGAUCAUUGGGUUUACUGGGUAGGUCCCUGUUUAGGAGGUAUUGCUGCUGCACUCAUCUACACCUACAUUUUCUCUGCACCAUCAUCGAACAUCGUAAUCACCACAACAACAGUGGAACGGUACCAAUCAGUACAAGCUGAUGAGAAGGAGCGGUUAAAAUAUAUUGAUGAGCCAUGAAAAGUUUUUCCAUCAACUAUAAUAUCUAAUUGGCUGAGAGGUUGUAAAAUUCUUAAACGACUGGACGGAAGUGGCAGCAAAAACGACGUAAAUUUGCCUUAAACGCAUAACUAAAC